rnacentral:piRNA from 1 species
ACGGGACUCAGCAGUGAUAAAAA